GGGGAUAUAACUCAGUCCGGUUAGAGUAAUAGCAUUAUUUAACGUGUGGGUUCGAGUCCCACUACCA
rnacentral:tRNA from 1 species